GAUGAACGCUGGCGGCGUGCCUAAUACAUGCAAGUCGAGCGAACAGACGAGGAGCUUGCUCCUCUGACGUUAGCGGCGGACGGGUGAGUAACACGUGGAUAACCUACCUAUAAGACUGGGAUAACUUCGGGAAACCGGAGCUAAUACCGGAUAAUAUAUUGAACCGCAUGGUUCAAUAGUGAAAGACGGUUUUGCUGUCACUUAUAGUUGGAUCCGCGCCGCAUUAGCUAGUUGGUAAGGUAACGGCUUACCAAGGCAACGAUGCGUAACCGACCUGAGAGGGUGAUCGGCCACACUAGAACUGAGACACGGUCCAGACUCCUAAGGGAGGCAGCAGUAGGGAAUCUUCCGAAAUGGGCGAAAGCUUGACGGAGCAAAGCCGCGUGAGUGAUGAAGGUCUUCGGAUCGUAAAACUCUGUUAUUAGGGAAGAACAAAUGUGUAAGUAACUAUGCACGUCUUGACGGUACCUAAUCAGAAAGCCACGGCUAACUACGUG
rnacentral:rRNA from 1 species